rnacentral:miRNA from 1 species
CAAGUACGUUUUUGAUUUGAGC